AGAAUCAACGCUGGCGGCGUGCCUAACACAUGCAAGUCGAACGAGAAAGUGGAGCAAUCCAUGAGUAAAGUGGCGACCGGGUGAGUAACACGUGACUAACCUACCUUCGAGUGGGGGAUAACAUCGGGAAACCGAUGCUAAUACCGCAUAACAUCGCAAGAUCAAAGCAGCAAUGCGCUUGAAGAGGGGGUCGCGGCUGAUUAGCUAGUUGGCGGGGUAAUGGCCCACCAAGGCGAAGAUCGGUAUCCGGCCUGAGAGGGCGCACGGACACACUGGAACUGAAACACGGUCCAGACUCCUACGGGAGGCAGCAGUGGGGAAUUUUGCGCAAUGGGGGAAACCCUGACGCAGCAACGCCGCGUGGAGGAUGAAGCCCUUGGGGCGUAAACUCCUUUCGACCAAGACGAUAAUGACGGUACUGGUGGAAGAAGCACCGGCUAACUCUGCGCCAGCAGCCGC
rnacentral:rRNA from 1 species